rnacentral:rRNA from 1 species
UACGUAGGUGGCGAGCGUUGUCCGGAUUUACUGGGCGUAAAGAGCGCGCAGGCGGUCGUUCAAGUCGCGUGUGAAAGCCCCCGGCUCAACUGGGGAGGGUCACGCGAUACUGAUCGACUCGAAGGCAGGAGAGGGAAGUGGAAUUCCCGGUGUAGUGGUGAAAUGCGUAGAUAUCGGGAGGAACACCAGUGGCGAAGGCGGCUAUCUGGACAGUGACUGACGCUGAGACGCGAAAGCGUGGGGAGCAAACAGG